CUCUCCUACCCCCAGGCUGGUCACCUCGGACUACCGACCCGGGACAAGAAGUCCAAGCAGACUGCGGCGGAGGUAGGCUGGCCUCAGCCCAGCUCCCCCAGGGUCUCCCCCGGAGCGCCGGCCUCCCAGCACGCGAGCAGCCCCCUCCCACCCAGUCCCGCGGCCGCCUCCAGUCCCCCUGCGCCCGGGAAGCCUCCACCUCGCCCGCCCUGACACCGAGGUCCCAGUAUCCAAAGCGCCCCCAGGGCCCCGCCCGCAACAGGGGAAGUUGCAGCCCGCCGCUCUCGGUCACCUUGGCCGUCACCGAGGGGCCUCGCUUGCGGAAGCCCUCGGCCCCCGAAGAAAACACAAGUGCGCCGAGCCCCACGCAAAGCACGAGAGGUAGCAGCAGCCGAGGACCCGGGCCCAUGGCUGGAAUGCUACAACUACAUUCUCCAAGACUACCUUGUAGCUAGUUUCUGCAUGUGACCUAGCUAUCACCAAGAAGACAUAUUGCUUGAGACUAGGAGGCAGAGAUGCUAAAUGUGAAUGAUAGCUCUGCAGAGAGAGAGAUCAGAUCUUGCAAGUGCAGAGAACAAGACACCUGGAUUUCCUGGGACAGCUGCUCUGGGGAUU
rnacentral:lncRNA from 1 species